rnacentral:snRNA from 1 species
UGCUCACUUCAGUAGCGAUCUACAAUUAGAGAAAUACAGAGAAGAUUAGCAUGGACCCCUGAGCAAAAGAUGACACACAAACUCGAGAAGCAUUCCAAAUCUGU